UGUAAAACAAUGGUGACCGGGAUGGAGAGGGAAGGAGAUGAACUGCGGAGGUUUAAAAGGUGAAAUUUAUUGGCCCUGAAUCAUCAUAAGAUGUGAAGAUUGAGACAUGCAGCUAUGGGGGAGCUGCUAACCAGCCCUCACCAUUCCAAAAGCUUUGAUUGCUCUUCUUAUCACCUAAACCUUAAGAGUUGUUGACUCAGGUGCUGAAAACAUCAGGCUGAAAGCAUCAGUCGAUUUAAAAUACACCUGUGCCGACAAGAGAAUGGGAAAUGGGAUACAGUUUUUACCUUGAAGGCUGACUGAAGGGGGAUGACCCAUGGUGAAUGUCACAGGUCAACUGGGCAGACUGUGUCCAAGCGAGUCAGCAUGUGCUAAGGAUUUCUUGCUAUUUGUUCUUGUCUUUAUUUUUCCAAUGUGGUUGAAUCUCUGUACAUUUAGCCUUAUAAACAUCUCCCCCACUACUAAUAACCAGAGAAAAAAAUGUUUGUAAUAAAAAUGUACAAUCUAGAGAUCAAACCAUUUUACAAAAGCUUCAAAAAUAUUUAUAUUUUCUUAGCAAACAAUGACAUGCACUUCAAACACUUGAACAUAAUAUUGUCUAUUUUUCUCUCACUUGAUUACAGAUUAAUUUCAGCUUAAACACACGUGAUCUUCUUUCCAACUUAUCUGCUUCAACAAGAAACCAUGAGGGUUCUUUAUCACCUGUAAAAUAUCUUUAAAACUGACUAGUAAGUAAUGGUAACUAUUUUAUUAAUAAAAGAAAUAUAUUU